ensembl:lncRNA
GGGUGUGGCCAGGCACUGUGGAUGGAGGUGUGGCCAGACACUGGGGAUGGGGGUGUGGCCAGGCACUGUGGAUGGGGGUGUGGCCAGGCACUAGGGAUGGAGGUGUGGCCAGGCACUGGGGAUGGGGGUGUGGCCAGGCACUGGGGAUGGGGGUGUGGCCAGGCACUGUGGAUGGAGGUGUGGCCAGACACUGGGGAUGGGGGUGUGGCCAGGCACUGUGGAUGGGGGUGUGGCCAGGCACUGGGGAUGGAGGUGUGGCCAGGCACUGGGGAUGGAGGUGUGGCCAGGCACUGGGGAUGGAGGUGUGGCCAGGCACUGGGGAUUGAGGUGUGGCCAGGCACUGGGG